rnacentral:lncRNA from 1 species
UCUUUUUUUUUUUGUUUCAGAACUGUUUUGAAAUUACUGUUACUCUGGAUAAAGUCCCAUUACUCUUGUCAAGAAUCCAAAAUUUAUAUCUGUGUCUAUGGGAAGACAUGCAAUAGAUGGCUCAAGUUCUCCAGGGCCAGACCCAUCACAUGGCUGCCCCUGUAGGGGUGUCACUGCUGGUACACUCCCUCAAAGAGCUCUCCUCUUGCAGCGUGUUUGCUUUGCCCCUGUUGCAUCUGGUUGUAACCUGGAUUGUAAAUUAUCUGAAGUAAGAGGCCAUCCGCUUGGUAAGUGUGUGUGCAGUGACUGAUACAGUGGAGUACCACAGUAAUUAUAUCACUCGUGCUGGAGUCCAAGGGACUGCUAAUGGAGCUCUGCCCAGGGAGGAAGGUUUGUGGCAUUAGCUUGUUGAUAUCCA